CUUCCAGUAGCACCUUAGAGACCAACUAAGUUUGUUAUUGGUAUGAGCUUUCGUGUGCAUGCACACUUCUUCAGAUACCAACAGCUGUGCAUGCACACGAAAGCUCAUACCAAUGACAAACUUAGUUGGUCUCUAAGGUGCUACUGGAAG